rnacentral:rRNA from 1 species
CCUACGGGUGGCAGCAGUGGGGAAUAUUGCACAAUGGGGGAAACCCUGAUGCAGCGACGCCGCGUGAGUGAAGAAGUAUUUCGGUAUGUAAAGCUCUAUCAGCAGGGAAGAAACCCACCCUCCGGGGUGGCUGACGGUACCUGACUAAGAAGCCCCGGCUAACUACGUGCCAGCAGCCGCGGUAAUACGUAGGGGGCAAGCGUUAUCCGGAUUUACUGGGUGUAAAGGGAGCGUAGGUGGCAAGACAAGUCAGAUGUGAAAUUCCGGGGCUCAACCCCGGACCUGCAUUUGAAACUGUUGGUCGUGAGUAUCGGAGAGGCAGGCGGAAUUCCUAGUGUAGCGGUGAAAUGCGUAGAUAUUAGGAGGAACAACAGUGGCGAAGGCGGCCUGCUGGACGACAACUGACGGUGAGGCGCGAAAGCGUGGGGAGCAAACAGGAUUAGAUACCCUAGUAGUC